rnacentral:tRNA from 1 species
GCACAGUGGUGAGAGCACUAGGCUGCUAACCAAAAGGUCGGUGGUUCGAAUCUACC